rnacentral:rRNA from 1 species
CAGGUCUUGACAUCCUUUGACCACCCUAGAGAUAGGGCUUUCCCUUCGGGGACAAAGUGACAGGUGGUGCAUGGUUGUCGUCAGCUCGUGCCGUGAGAUGUUGGGUUAAGUCCCGCAACGAGCGCAACCCCUAUUAUUAGUUGCCAGCAUUCAGUUGGGCACUCUAGUGAGACUGCCGGUGAUAAACCGGAGGAAGGUGGGGAUGACGUCAAAUCAUCAUGCCCCUUAUGACCUGGGCUACACACGUGCUACAAUGGAUGGUACAACGAGUCGCAAGGUCGCGAGGCCAAGCUAAUCUCUUAAAGCCAUUCUCAGUUCGGAUUGUAGGCUGCAACUCGCCUGCAUGAAGCCGGAAUCGCUAGUAAUCGCGGAUCAGCACGCCGCGGUGAAUACGUUCCC